rnacentral:rRNA from 1 species
AAAGCUCGUAGUUGAACCUUGGGCCUGGCUGGCCGGUCCGCCUCACCGCGUGUACUGGUCCGGCCGGGCCUUUCCCUCUGUGGAACCCCAUGCCCUUCACUGGGUGUGGCGGGGAAACAGGACUUUUACUUUGAAAAAAUUAGAGUGCUCCAGGCAGGCCUAUGCUCGAAUACAUUAGCAUGGAAUAAUAGAAUAGGACGUGUGGUUCUAUUUUGUUGGUUUCUAGGACCGCCGUAAUGAUUAAUAGGGACAGUCGGGGGCAUCAGUAUUCAAUUGUCAGAGGUGAAAUUCUUGGAUUUAUUGAAGACUAACUACUGCGAAAGCAUUUGCCAAGGAUGUUUUCAUUAAUCAGGAACGAAAGUUAGGGGAUCGAAGACGAUCAGAUACCGUCGUAGUCUUAACCAUAAACUAUGCCGACUAGGGAUCGGACGAUGUUACUUAUUGACUCGUUCGGCACCUA